ensembl:snRNA U1 U1 spliceosomal RNA
AUACUUACCUGGCACACAGACACACAUCAAGAAGGUGGUUCACACACACACUCAGCCAUUGCACUGAGGCUGUUGUUGACCCACACAAUUCCCCAAAUGUGGACAACACUGAUUGCAUAAUUUCUGGUAGUGGGGACUGCCAACACACACCUGAU